GAUUGUCCAGUAGUUAGACAUUAAAUUGCAUCAUCUACAGAAGUUGCUUUUAUUUUGAGCCAAAUGAACUGUCUGGUGCUUCUGACUGAAGCAGAAUUUUCUUGCACUUGCUAGGAAUCUCUGGCACUGCCUGGUAUCAAGAUGGUUGCAUUUGGCGAGAUCCUGAUUAACGUUGGAGACGUUGGAUUGUUCCAGAAGCGUUUACUGCUUGGACUAUGUCUGCAAAACCUCAUAUUCCCAGUCCUAUUCACUAGUUUUCUUUUUGUCCAGACAGACUCUGGCCGCCACUGUAACACUGACUGGACCCUCAGAGCUGGUGCUAAUCUGAGCAGUGAGAAAUAGCUGAAUCUGACCGUGCCCCGGGAGCAGCAUGGAGCUUUCAGUAGGUGUCUGAUAUUUAACCCAGUGGACUGGGACAUUAACACUAUCAGGGAGAAUGGAUUCAGAUGCUUGAGUGCCAGAAGGGAUGGUUCUACGACAAGACACUAUGAAACCACCAUAGUCUCCAGUUUUGAUCUGGUGUGUGAGAAAGAUAAUUUAGUUGGAGUCGCACAAACUAUGUUUAUGGCUGGUAUUGUUUUUGGUUCCCUCUUUUUUAGACCCACUGCUGAAUCGAACGGUCAUAGACAAACAACUCAACUACCUGUGGUGCAGGCCUGUCUGCAAACCUGUACGUAUACCUGGUAUCCCAGUUUAUACUAGCGGCUGCCCUAAGAGGAUAUUGAAUCAACAGCACUGUAUUAGCCACUAAAUGGGUUGGAAUGACCAGGCAAUCCUUUGCCUCCUGUCUAAACUAGAUGUUUGCUGGUGUUGGACAAUGUGUCCUGGCUGGUUUGGUGUGCCUCAUCUGGGACUGAAGAAUUUCUAAAUUUGUGAUGGUGGCACCAAAGCCACUGUUUCUCAUUUACAUAUGGUUUAUUCUGGAGUCAGCAAGGUGGUAACUUGGUCGGGAGAAAACCAAAGAAGCUAAUGAGUUGAUUCUUAGAGUUGUAGCAAACAACAAACGCAGAGUUUCAGAUACUCUACUGGGGGUGACUGAGGUAAGGAAAAUACAGAUACUCUACUGGAGGUAACUGAGGUGAGGAAAAUACAGAUACUCUACUGGAGGUGACUGCAGUGAGGAAAAUACAGAUACUCUACUGGAGGUGACUGCAGUGAGGAAAAUACAGAUACUCUACUGGAGGUGACUGCGGUGAGGAAAAUACAGAUACUCUACUGGAGGUGACUGAGGUGAGGAAAAUACAGAUACUCUACUGGAGGUGACUGAGGUGAGGAAAAUACAGAUACCAGAUACUCUACUGGAGGUGACUGAGGUAAGGAAAAUACAGAUACUCUACUGGAGGUGACUGAGGUAAGGAAAAUACAGAUACUCUACUGGAGGUGACUGAGGUGAGGAAAAUACAGAUACUCUACUGGAGGUGACUGAGGUGAGGAAAAUACAGAUACUCUACUGGAGGUGACUGAGGUGAGGAAAAUACAGAUACUCUACUGGAGGUGACUAAGGUGAGGAAAAUACAGAUACUCUACUGGAGGUGACUAAGGUGAGGAAAAUACAGAUACUCUACUGGAGGUGACUGAGGUGAGGAAAAUACAGAUACUCUACUGGAGGUGACUGAGGUGAGGAAAAUACAGAUACCAGAUACUCUACUGGAGGUGACUGAGGUGAGGAAAAUACAGAUACUCUACUGGAGGUGACUGAGGUGAGGAAAAUACAGAUACUCUACUGGAGGUGACUGAGGUGAGGAAAAUACAGAAACUACUGGAGGUGACUAAGGUGAGGAAAAUACAGAUACUCUACUGGAGGUGACUGAGGUGAGGAAAAUACAGAUACUCUACUGGAGGUGACUGAGGUAAGGAAAAUACAGAUACUCUACUGGAGGUGACUGAGGUGAGGAAAAUACAGAUACUCUACUGGAGGUGACUGAGGUGAGGAAAAUACAGAUACUCUACUGGAGGUGACUAAGGUGAGGAAAAUACAUAAAUGAGGCAUAAAGGUUCUAUUUGCUUCACCUGUGCUAAGAAAUUAUUUCCUUAUUUUAUCAUUUGCAUGGUUUGCAUUAAUCUUUGGCUACUUCUGCCUCUCUGUAAAUGCUGGUAAAUUUGGCUUGGACAUCUUUCUGGUACAGCUGAUGUUCAGUGCUCUAUCUAUUGGCCAUGUACCACUGGUGCAUCCCUACAGCAGUGUUCAGCAGCCUGUCAUUGACUGAUGGGGCUCUGGUCUUCCUGCUUCCUGAGAUCUGAGAACAGAACCACCUGACUACUGAUGAGGCUGAAGGGAAAAGGAAUGUGAACAUCAUGAAGGCAGGAAUCUGAAUAUGAAAGUGGAUCAUAGUAAUGGUGGAAGAUUAACCAAACUGUACUGUAGAUUGUUUUUGUUUUUUAAUCAGGUUUUUCCCUGGAACAUUCCAGUCUAAUCAUGUAUAACAAACAAUAACUUUUUUUAGUGGAACCGUCUCACAUUGUAGACUAAAUAUUGUUCUGUUGAGCUAUAUACCUAAAAGGUUCCAGGAAGAACCAUUUUGGAUCCAGGUAGAACCCCUUUGGGUUCAAUGUAGAACCAUUCCACAGAGGGUUCUACCUGUCACCAAAAAGGGUGGUAUGGGUGCAGCCGAAGAACGUUUUCGGAACCCUUUUUUUAACCCUCCUGCUUGUGUUCCGGUCUCUCUGAAAAAUGUAGUUCAUUUAAUCUGAUUGUCAUAUAAGGUUCCAUGACUUUGUCCACACAGGGCAUCUGAACACACAAAAUAAAUUUUGAUGAUUUUCAUUACA